rnacentral:rRNA from 1 species
ACCCGCUGAACUUAAGCAUAUCAUAUAAGCGGAGGAAAAGAAACCAACAGGGAUUGCCCUAGUAACGGCGAGUGAAGCGGCAACAGCUCAAAUUUGAAAUCUGGCUCUUUUAGAGUCCGAGUUGUAAUUUGCAGAGGGCGCUUUGGCUUUGGCAGCGGUCCAAGUUCCUUGGAACAGGACGUCACAGAGGGUGAGAAUCCCGUACGUGGUCGCUGGCUAUUGCCGUGUAAAGCCCCUUCGACGAGUCGAGUUGUUUGGGAAUGCAGCUCUAAAUGGGAGGUACAUUUCUUCUAAAGCUAAAUAUUGGCCAGAGACCGAUAGCGCACAAGUAGAGUGAUCGAAAGAUGAAAAGCACUUUGGAAAGAGAGUCAAACAGCACGUGAAAUUGUUGAAAGGGAAGCGCUUGCAGCCAGACUUGCUUACAGUUGCUCAUCCGGGCUUUUGCCCGGUGCACUCUUCUGUAGGCAGGCCAGCAUCAGUUUGGGCGGUAGGAUAAAGGUCUCUGUCACGUACCUCUCUUCGGGGAGGCCUUAUAGGGGAGACGACAUACUACCAGCCUGGACUGAGGUCCGCGCAUCUGCUAGGAUGCUGGCGUAAUGGCUGU